GACGAACGCUGGCGGCGUGCUUAACACAUGCAAGUCGAACGGAAAGGCCCUGCUUUUGUGGGGUGCUCGAGUGGCGAACGGGUGAGUAACACGUGAGUAACCUGCCCUUGACUUUGGGAUAACUUCAGGAAACUGGGGCUAAUACCGGAUAGGAGCUCCUGCUGCAUGGUGGGGGUUGGAAAGUUUCGGCGGUUGGGGAUGGACUCGCGGCUUAUCAGCUUGUUGGUGGGGUAGUGGCUUACCAAGGCUUUGACGGGUAGCCGGCCUGAGAGGGUGACCGGCCACAUUGGGACUGAGAUACGGACCAGAGUGCUACGGGAGGCAGCAGUGGGGAAUAUUGCACAAUGGGGGGAAGCCUGAUGCAGCAACGCCGCGUGCGGGAUGACGGCCUUCGGGUUGUAAACCGCUUUCGCCUGUGACGAAGCGUGAGUGACGGUAAUGGGUAAAGAAGCACCGGCUAACUACGUG
rnacentral:rRNA from 1 species